GAAUUCUGUAAACAAGGAAAAUUUUCAGAUUACUAAUCCGAAUGAUUCGAAAUAUUUGUAAACGCUCGAAACGUUUCUUAUCAGAUAUAAUUGUGCCAGAUACCGUGAUCUAAUUUUAAGGCGAACCAGCUGAGUAGACAUUCCGAGAGAAAACGGAGAAACUUUCUAACGCGUGAACCAUUAUUUUUCUUUGUUACACACGGUUCACCGGCCACCUUUUUACAGCCAUUUCAGAAUUUCUGGAAUGCACCGUGGAAUCACGGAAUUCGAAGUACGUACGUAGUUUCUAAUUAGUAGAUUUUUACAAUGAAAAUAUUGAAACUUUCACAGCGAAUAUUUUCGUAAAACUUCGAUGUCAUAGAAUUUUAACAUCUAGGAAAAUACUCGGCUGUUAUCGUAAGAUAUUAAAAAUGGCAAAGCCGAUGACGAAACGCUUAAUCUUUAUCUGGAGAAUCGUAAGAGAGCAUCGAUUACGUUUUAUGAGAAUGCAAAUAACGAUGCACAUUUUGUUAAACUAAUUAGUGUUAAAAUGAAGUACAAUCAGUGAUCUCGAACAUAUAAUAAAUGCCGCUAGUGUCGCGACUGAAUUUUGUAUUUAUUUUCUUUUUAACCAGCAUGAUUGAAAGCCGCGACGCUCGCAGAAUCAGUUUAUCAAAGACACACAGAGGAGAUCAUUUAUAACACAUGUCGUCUAAUAAUAACCGUCUACCGGCAACUCCGCUACCGUCUAUGAUGUGUUUAUCCUGGAUUUCGCAAUAGGUCUGAUAGAGCAACCAGACGCAAGUGGAAUGUACUAAUCAACGCCAGACAAUUGUCGUUCGUCUGCGAAAAUUCACGUGUUUCUACCUUUUGAAACAUUCCGUAACAUCGGGAACAAUGUCGUAACCAGCGACGCAGAGAUAACCGAUGAGAAAUGUUGUAACGACUCACGCUACAAUUCAGGACUUCGCAAUUGGUCAAUGUCACGUUGGUACACGUGUACCGGUAAUAAUGGUUGGGCCUCGCGUGGACCACACUCCCAAGUCAUUUAUUAUUUUAUCCCUUUUCAUGGGCCUCGGCUCAACCUUCAUAGCUAUUUAUUAUUUUUUUGUCUUUAAGGGCCUCACGAGGCCCAACCCUUUAUCACUGCAUUCCUUACAUGUCUGCAUCCCUUAUAUCACUACAUUCCCUAUAUUCCUGCAUCUCGUAUAUGCCGGCAUUCCUUAUACCUCGGCAUCCCUUACAUCUCUGUACCCUUUAUAUCCCUGUAUCCUUUCAACCCUUACAAUAAAUAUAUUAUAAAUAAAAUACUUAUGGACCCUGAUUCGA